ACCCGCUGAACUUAAGCAUAUCAGUAAGCGGGAGGAAAAGAAACUAAAUAGGAUUCCCCCCAGUAACGGCGAGUGAAAAGGGAAAAGUCCAUCGCUAAAUCGUUUUGCCUCUGGCAUUAUGAGGUGUAGCGUAUAAGUCGUAAACUUUGAUCUUUUGUCUCAAACAAGUCCCCUUGAUAGAGGUUCCACAGAAGGUGCAAGUCCUGUACGUUGAGAUAAUUGAUCGAUAUUUGCGUGCUUUAGAGUCGGGUUGUUUGGGAUCGCAGCCCAAAGUCGGUGGUAAACUUCAUCUAAGACUUAAUAUUGCCACGAGACCGAUAGCAAACAAGUACUGUGAAGGAAAGUUGCAAAGCACUUUGAAGAGAGAGUUAAAGAGGACGUGAAACCGGUAAGGUGGAAACGGAUAGAGUCGGCGUAUCAUUCAAUUAUUCAGUUACAUUAUUUUUAUGUUGUGACCUCUGAGCUCCAGAUUGGGACAGAGGGAAUCAGCAUAAUUUUUUGUGGUGCAUUUACUUGAUUGGUGCUUGGGGAUGUUUGAGGCAGAUUUGUUUCCGUCGUUUUGAGGUCAGCUUGCUGGUACCCAAACGGUGUUAGCAUUUUUUUUUGUACAUUUGAGUAUGGCUUCGGGCAUUUAUUGGUUCGAUCUGAGUGUAAGUUACGGUCGCAUGCGACACGUGCUUUUCAAUUAGUUCGGUCCAGUUAAUGCUCUCGUACUCGUUCCCCAUGUAAAAGCCGGUCAUCUAUCCGACCCGUCUUGAAACACGGACCAAGGAGUUUAUCGUGUGCGCAAGUUUUUGGGUGUUAAAAACUUAAAAGCGAAAUGAAAGUAAAUGACUCUUUAGAGUCUGAUGUGCGAUCUUGUAAAAAAGUGUAGCAUGGCCCCAUUCUAACUGUUUACAGUAGGGUGGCGGAAGAGCGUACGCGGUGAGACCCGAAAGAUGGUGAACUAUUCCUGAGCAGGACGAAGCCAGAGGAAACUCUGGUGGAAGUCCGAAGCGGUUCUGACGUGCAAAUCGAUCGUCUGACUUGGGUAUAGGGGCGAAAA
rnacentral:rRNA from 1 species